rnacentral:rRNA from 1 species
AGAGUUUGAUUCUGGCUCAGAACGAACGCUGGCGGCGUGGAUUAGGCAUGCAAGUCGAACGUGAAGCUUUCACUUCAAUCCUUCGGGAGAGAAGUGGUUGUGGAAAGUGGCGGAAGGGUGAGGAACGCGUGGGUAACCUACCCUCGAGCUGGGGAUAACUUCUCGAAAGAGAGGCUAAUACCGAAUAUGACCCGGUUUUCGCAUGGAUACCGGUUCAAAGGUGGGGAUUCUUCGGAACCUGCCACUCGAGGAGGGGCCCGCGUCCUAUCAGCUUGUUGGUGAGGUAACGGCUCACCAAGGCUUACGGGUAGCUGGUCUGAGAGGAUGGUCAGCCACACUGGGACUGAGACACUGCCCAGACUCCUACGGGAGGCUGCAGUCGAGGAUCAUUCGCAAUGCGCGAAAGCGUGACGAUGCGACGCCGCGUGGAGGAUGAAGGCCCUUGGGUCGUAAACUCCUGUCAUUUGGGAGUAAUGGCCUUGGUAUUAAUACUACCGAGGUUUGAUAGUACCAAAAGAGGAAGCCACGGCUAACUCUGUGCCAGCAGCCGCGGUAACACAGAGGUGGCGAGCGUUGUUCGGAUUUACUGGGCGUAAAGGGUGCCUAGGCGGUGGCGUGUGUCGGAUGUGAAAUCUCAUCGCUCAACGGUGAAACUGCAUUCGAAACUGCGUCACUCGAGUACUGGAGAGGGAAGCGGAAUUCUUGGUGUAGCGGUGAAAUGCGUAGAUAUCAAGAAGAACACCGGUGGCGAAGGCGGCUUCCUGGACAGAUACUGACGCUGAGGCACGAAAGCUGGGGGAGCAAACAGGAUUAGAUACCCUGGUAGUCCCAGCCGUAAACGGUGUGCACUUGGUGUGGGAGGAUUUGACCCCUUCCGUGCUGGAGCUAACGCGUUAAGUGCACCGCCUGGGGAGUACGGCCGCAAGGCUAAAACUCAAAGAAAUUGACGGGGGCCCGCACAAGCGGAGGAGCAUGUGGCUUAAUUCGAUGCAACGCGAAGAACCUUACCAGGGCUUGACAUGCAGCUGCACGUCCGGUGAAAGUCGGAUUCCUUAGAGGGUGCUGCACAGGUGCUGCAUGGCUGUCGUCAGUUCGUGCCGUGAGGUGUUGGGUUAAGUCCCGCAACGAACGCAACCCCUGUGUCUAGUUGCUAUCAGAGGUGAUGAGCCUUUGAGCACUCUAGACAGACUGCCUGUGACAAGCAGGAGGAAGGUGGGGAUGACGUCAAGUCCGUAUGGCCUUUAUGCCCUGGGCUGCACACGUGCUACAAUGGCCGGUACAGAAGGACGCAAUACCGCGAGGUGGAGCAAAUCCCCAAAACCGGCCUCAGUUCGGAUUGGAGUCUGCGACUCGACUCCAUGAAGUUGGAUUCGCUAGUAACGGCGUAUCAGCUACGACGCCGUGAAUACGUUCCCGGGCCUUGUACACACCGCCCGUCACAUCAUGAAAGCCGUCUGCACCCGAAGUCGCUGAUCCAACCCUUCACUGGGAGGAAGGUGCCGAAGGUGUGGGUGGUGAUUGGGAUGAAGUCGUAACAAGGU